AAGUCGUAACAAGGUUUCCGUAGGUGAACCUGCGGAAGGAUCAUUAUCAUACAACGGAGGCGCUGGGGCUGUCGCUGACUUUUGUCGUGCACGCUCGGAGUGCUCUCUAAAAUCCAUCUCACCCCUUUGUGCAUCAUCGCGUGGGCCUCCCUUCUGGCUUGUUCCGAGGGGGGGUUCGCGUUUCUUUCACACAAACACCCUUUUAAAUGCAUGUGUAGAAUGUCUUACUUUUUGCGAUCACACGCAAUCAAUACAACUUUCAACAACGGAUCUCUUGGCUCUC
rnacentral:misc_RNA from 1 species